rnacentral:rRNA from 1 species
UACGAAGGGGGCUAGCGUUGUUCGGAAUUACUGGGCGUAAAGCGUGCGCAGGCGGCUUCUCAAGUCAGGGGUGAAAGCCCAGAGCUCAACUCUGGAAUUGCCUUUGAGACUGAGUGGCUUGAGUACGGGAGAGGUGAGUGGAAUUCCCAGUGUAGAGGUGAAAUUCGUAGAUAUUGGGAAGAACACCGGUGGCGAAGGCGGCUCACUGGCCCGUAACUGACGCUCAUGCACGACAGCGUGGAGAUCAAACAGG